CAGUAUCAGCUGUUAUCUGUGACAUCACCUCCUCCUUCCCUCCAUUGUUGGUGCCGGUGACUAGUACAGCAACACCUCUACCUUCCACCCGAGGCUCUAGACGCCCUCCGCGCCCCCGGGACCCUCUGCUCCCUGCCUUAAACUGUCGUAGUCUUGUACAUCUGGAUUUGUGCAGCUACCCUAGACUAUAUGAAGGGGAGUACAGUGUGUCAAAAAGCUAGCUACAUGAUGCUCAAAGUGUGUUCGGGAACUUAUACACCAGCCGAAUGAAAGUAGAAAAGUGGGACACUAGAGCUGAAACUCAGCCCCAACUCAUAAUUAGGGCCAGUGUUUAGUGAUCCCCCAGGCCGUGUGGUGGGGUAUAUCUCCCGCUAAGGUGGUUGGCUUGGUAGCCUCGCCCAGACCAUCAGGGAUCCAGCGUGACACCUUCCUUAUCAAGAGGUAGAUCAAGGCUGGGAUUAAGUAUUCUGUCAACACUUGCCUCAUACCGCUGAUCCCCACCACAAAGCACUACAAUG